UCAACUGCAAAUGCUUGUCUGCACGUAUUGCAUUGUUUGCAAAAAUCUGCAUUUUUAGUAGGUAUAAAAUCUUUUACGCGAAGCCUUGGAAAUCAAGAGCUUUACGAAGACAUUAGUUCAUAUUUUUUUGGCCACAGAUGGCCUAUUGGCUGUCGCACGAGAUGGAAGAGAGUUGGUGAUUGAAACUGAUUUUCGUGUAAAAAUUUCAAUAGACUUUCUUCGCCUAUCUAAUGGAUUCCUAUACACCCAGGAAUUUUUCUUUAGGAAAUCUUACUUUGGCUUAACUUACGACUUCUUCACCUUCGGUUUUUGGGAAACCAUAAUCAUCAUGAUGCUUUUCCGGGUCUGAUGUUUCCGUCUGCAAAAAACUUGUACUCGCAGAACUUCUUCAGGUAUAUAAUCAGUUCUUUUCUACAAAAUCAAAGAGCUGCGGAGAAAAGCUCAGAUAAGGGGAACUUGACUUAUCCGAAUACAUAUGUACAUAUAUAUUUUGUAUAAGUAUGUUCGAUUUAUUCUUAGCCUUUUAGUUUCAUUAUUCAACUCAAUAUACUUACAACAUACAUAUGUCAAUCUCAUGCUGCCGAAGUAAUUUACUAUGGAACUCAGCCAAUUUGCACUGAUCAGUUAUUGGAAAAAAAUUGUCAGAAGGAAACAUGGCUGUGUUUCAAAUAUGAUACUUUAUUUUAUUUAAAUGUGCGUUUGCAUUUUAAAUACAUAAAUUUUUGGAAGUACUUAGGUAUUAAGUAAAUCAAAAAUAUAUAAAUUUUAAAUAUAUCUAAGACAAUAUUUCAAAUUUACGAUAAAUAAAAUUUUAUGAUAAGGACUAUUCUUGUUUUUGUACGAAUCGAAUUUUUAAAAUUUUUUUACCGAAAAUGAUAGGAAAAUUUCGUAAUUUUCGAUUCGUAUGAAAACAAGAAUACGCCUCAAUGUAUGUAAAUUAUUUGACUCUUUAUUUUAAGUAAUAAAUACUUAUUUUUACGUUCUAUCAAGAACUGAGGAAAAUA